rnacentral:tRNA from 1 species
GGGGAAAUAGCUCAGUUGGUUAGAGUGCCGGUCUGUCACGCCAGAAGUCGCGGGUUCGAACCCCGUUUUCCCCG